AACGAACGCUGGCGGCAUGCCUAACACAUGCAAGUCGAACGAGACCUUCGGGUCUAGUGGCGCACGGGUGCGUAACGCGUGGGAACCUGCCCUUAGGUUCGGAAUAACUCCCCGAAAGGGGUGCUAAUACCGGAUAAUGUCUUCGGACCAAAGAUUUAUCGCCUUUGGAUGGGCCCGCGUUGGAUUAGCUAGUUGGUAGGGUAAAAGCCUACCAAGGCGACGAUCCAUAGCUGGUCUGAGAGGAUGAUCAGCCACACUGGGACUGAGACACGGCCCAGACUCCUACGGGAGGCAGCAGUGGGGAAUAUUGGACAAUGGGCGAAAGCCUGAUCCAGCAAUGCCGCGUGAGUGAUGAAGGACUUAGGGUUGUAAAGCUCUUUUACCCGGGAUGAUAAUGACAGUACCGGGAGAAUAAGCGCCGGCUAACUCCGUG
rnacentral:rRNA from 1 species